rnacentral:rRNA from 1 species
CCCUUAGAUGUCCUGGGCCGCACGCGUGCUACACUGAUGCAUACAGCGAGUACUCCCAGCUCCGAGAGGCUGCUGGUAAUCAGCAAUAUGCAUCGUGAUGGGGAUAGAUCUUUGGAAUUAUAGAUCUUGAACGAGGAAUUCCUAGUAAUCGCAGGUCAUCACCCUGCGUUGACUAAGUCCCUGCCCUUUGUACACACCGCCCGUCGCUCCUACCGAUUUCGAGUGAUCCGGUGAAUCAUUCGGACCGCGGCCCCUAGGCAUGCGGAAAGUCUAGUAAACCAUAUCACUUAGAGGAAGGAGAAGUCGGAACA